rnacentral:rRNA from 1 species
UAACACGUAGGGGGCGAGCGUUGUCCGGAUUUAUUGGGCGUAAAGAGCUCGUAGGCGGCUCAGUAAGUCAGGUGUGAAAACUCCAGGCUCAACCUGGAGACGCCACCUGAUACUGCUGUGGCUAGAGUCCGGUAGGGGAGCAUGGAAUUCCUGGUGUAGCGGUGAAAUGCGCAGAUAUCAGGAGGAACACCAGUGGCGAAGGCGGUGCUCUGGGCCGGAACUGACGCUGAGGAGCGAAAGCGUGGGGAGCAAACAGGAUUAGAUACCCUGGUAGUCCACGCCGUAAACGUUGGGUACUAGGUGUGGGGCCUUAUCAACGGGCUCUGUGCCGAAGCUAACGCAUUAAGUACCCCGCCUGGGGAGUACGGCCGCAAGGCUA